rnacentral:lncRNA from 1 species
GCAAUUCUUCCAAGGUUAUGUAACAGUGUUCAAACAGUACAGUGGGAAUUGUACUACCUACUUCAGAGAGAGAAAUGUGAAAUACAGAGCUCAGUCACUGGUGACAGAAGAUGGAAAUACCUAAAAGACAGUGAGACAGUCCAGCGCUGGGACAUUGGAUUCACCAUGGCUGGGAUGAGGAGACGAGUUCUCACCAAGGUGCUAAAUUGCCUAGGCUGGUCUUGAACUUGCUAUCCUCCUGCUUCAGCCUCCCAGAGAAGUAGGAUUACAGGUGUGUGCCACGACAUCCAUGCUCCAUUUACAUGAUUUAGUAUAUAAAAUGUCUGUCUGAAACAUUUAUAGUAAAUUUUUAAUCUAUGUUAACCAUGGAAACAUUAUGGAUUUCUCUAUUCUAAAUUAAUUUACAUUUACAAAUUUCAUGGUUAAACUUCAUACACAAAUUAAUGUGAUAACAUCAUGGUAUACUUAAAUGUAAGAAAAACUACAAAACAUUUAGUUUCCAUACUUUGUCAUAUUUCUCUGUGGUCUCUGUAUUAUAAUCACAUGAUAUUUGCUAUGAGUAUCUCUUACUUUUUUUUUUGGUACUGGGGAUCGAACUCGGGACCUUGUGCUUGCGAGGCAGGUGGUAGAACCACUGAACUACAUCCCGGCCCUCCUACUUUUUAUUUACCUAUAUCUGAUUUAAAACUACAACACAAAUAUUAACAAAUGUUGGAUAUAAACAAAUGAUGGCAGACAUCUGAAGUGCUUUAUGUCCUUGAAUAUAAAGAUUUGGGAGCAGACCUGGAAUGUUACAGUGAGCAUGCUGGCAAUCACAGCACCCCAUGAGGCUGAGCUAACAGAGAUGCAGCAACUUAAUGAGACCCUCAAAGUAAAACAGUGGGAAAAAACUGGCUGGGGUUGUAGUUCAGUGAAAAACCUCUGGGUUCAAUCUCCAAUAGUGGGAGGAAAAAACAAAGAGAUAAACAAAAGACCUGUUAACACAUUUUACUAUCUUGUUGUAAGUAGAGAUUAAUGGGAAUUUAGUGUAAAAAACUAACAGAAUCUAUGACAACCGACCUGCAGUUCUUGUAAUUUCUAUAGUGCUCAGCACAAUGCCCAGCACACACUGGGAGUUUCAAUAUACAAAUUAAUAUUUUCUUGUCCUCCCAGAGGUGGUAGGAAUCACACAGUAUACAAGAGAUUCUCCAUUAUCCAAAAAGCACCUAUCAUUGUUCUUUUAUAAAGAAAAAUUUCAGAGGUCAAAAAAAGUAGUACUUUGAAUUAUUACAGACCAAAGGGGCAACAGCAGAUUGGUGGUGAAGAGGAGAAUGUGAGUAGUAACAUGUCUUAUCAUCUGGUUUAUGACCUCUGACGAUAAAGAGGUAUAAGCCAAGGAAAGACAAAUAGCUGCAUGAACAGAAAACAGAAGUACUACUGAGGUGUGACAGACAAUGUCUCAUGUUUCUGUGGUGUUAUAUUUCACACAGUGUUCCAUUUUGGGGGAAAAAUUGAGUGGGUUUACUUCCCAAAUUAAGGCAAAGGCACAUGACUUCCAUGUAUUCAGCCUUGACUUUAUGUUCUUGCCAUCCUAUCCUGACACGUUUACUGCAUUUGAUGUUUCUAUGAGUCACUGUAUAAAUGGUUUUAACCUUUACUUAUUAUAAAAAAUGGUUAUUUUGGGUUGCCUAUAUUACCUCUUCAUCUUUUUUGGGACACAGUAACAUAGAAAAGGAGACAGUGACUUAUGUGCCUUAAAAAUAAGGGCACAAAAGAUUGAAUCAGAACAUUCUGUGAUUUAACCAGAAUGAAGUGCAGGUGAAUAUUUUUAAACUAGGAUGUAACCUCAGAUUAACUUUUGUGACCAUUUCCUGGUGUUUAGAAAACUUAAAGAAAAAGUAUGUUAUUAAUGAUUGCUGCUUGUCUCUUUAUAUUUGAAUUUAGAUUUUGGCACUGACAAUUUAUUGAACGAAGAACAAAGCACAUGCUUUUAAAAUCAAGCCUGGAAAUGAAGAUAACUUUUUGACAAUUGAACUUUAAAACUAUUUAGUACAAAAUUAAAGAGUAGGCUUUCUUCCUAAUGCCUCUGUGCUAGUUAGUGUUACCUCUCCUCAAAUAAUAUAUUCCCUGCACAAUGGGACGCUGUGUGUGUCUGUGUGUUGGAAUGAGGAGAGUAUGUGUUUGGAUACAGCUGGGAAAGGGAGACUUUCACUUUUGACAGGAAAGAAACAGCAACUACAUCUGCUAAGUUUCUGUUUCUAUAAAAAGAAUACCUGCUAGCCUGCUGACAUGAGGCAGACUCAACUGCAAUGUUGAAAGAUUAAGGCCAGCUGGUGUUUUUCCAGUUGAUUUGCAUUUCUGGAGCUCAAGGUGAUCCCCCUGUAUUUUUAACGGAUGUCUGUGACUCAAAAAGUUGGCAUGUUAAGAGGAUGCUGGUGCUACCUCUUCUAAAGACAUAAGAAAUCAAGUCUGAGAGAAACACAAAUAGAGAUGAUUAACAUCAAAGUGGUUAAUUUGCAAUAAUUGCUAUAUGCAUGUUUAUCAUGUUGAUUAAGUCUAUUUAUAAAGGGCCUAAGUAUAAUCUAUAUCCUGAAAUCGUGUGGGAAAGGUGCAGGAAUGCACAGAAAGAAAUUAUAUCCCUAUGUUGGAAAAAAAGGAACUGUUCAAUUAAAUGAAAGAGGAAUUGGCCAUAAAAAUUGGAUUGGGUUCAAGCAAAACAAGCUCUGUAAGCCUACUAGGCAAAAUAUCAUUGGUCAUAUCUUAUAUACAAAAUAAUUAUUGACCACUUAUCUUAUAUUUGUCUUCCCUUCUUCCCACUAUGCAUGCCCAAUACCACCACCAACAACUUAAGGCCUCAAUUCCUCUGCUGUUCAAUUCACAAGAACAG